rnacentral:rRNA from 1 species
UACGGAGGGUGCAAGCGUUGCUCGGAAUUAUUGGGCGUAAAGGGUAGGUAGGUGGUCUCGUUUGUCUGGGGUGAAAGCCUUGAGCUUAACUCAAGAAGUGCCUUAGAAACGGCGAGACUAGAGUCUUGGAGAGGGUCGUGGAAUUCCAGGUGUAGCGGUGAAAUGCGUAGAUAUCGAGAGGAACACCUGCGGCGAAGGCGGGUAGCUGGGCCGACACUGACGCUGAGGCGCGAAAGCCAGGGGAGCGAACGGG